AUUGAACGCUGGCGGCAUGCCUUACACAUGCAAGUCGGACGGCAGCACGGGUGCUUGCACCUGGUGGCGAGUGGCGAACGGGUGAGUAAAGCAUCGGAACGUACCCGGGAGUGGGGGAUAACGUAGCGAAAGUUACGCUAAUACCGCAUACCCUGUGAGCAGGAAAGCGGGGGCUCGCAAGACCUCGCGCUUUCGGAGCGGCCGAUGUCGGAUUAGCUAGUUGGUGGGGUAAAGGCCUACCAAGGCAACGAUCCGUAGCGGGUCUGAGAGGAUGAUCCGCCACACUGGGACUGAGACACGGCCCAGACUCCUACGGGAGGCAGCAGUGGGGAAUUUUGGACAAUGGGCGCAAGCCUGAUCCAGCCAUGCCGCGUGAGUGAAGAAGGCCUUCGGGUUGUAAAGCUCUUUUGUUGGGAAAGAAAAGAUUCGGGCUAAUACCCGGAUUAAGACGGUACCCAA
rnacentral:rRNA from 1 species